rnacentral:rRNA from 1 species
CAGUCGCCGCGGUAAUACGUAGGUGGCAAGCGUUGUCCGGAAUUAUUGGGCGUAAAGCGCGCGCAGGCGGCCUAUCCAGUCUGUCUUAAAAGUUCGGGACUCAACCCCGUGAUGGGAUGGAAACUAGUAGGCUAGAGUAUCGGAGAGGAAAGCGGAAUUCCUAGUGUAGCGGUGAAAUGCGUAGAUAUUAGGAAGAACACCAGUGGCGAAGGCGGCUUUCUGGACGAAAGCUGACGCUGAGGCGCGAAAGCCAGGGGAGCGGACGGGAUUAGAUACCCCGGUAGUCCCUGUCUCUUAUACC